rnacentral:rRNA from 1 species
CAGCCGCCGCGGGAAUACGUAGGGUGCAAGCGUUAAUCGGAAUUACUGGGCGUAAAGCGUGCGCAGGCGGUUUGUUAAGACAGAUGUGAAAUCCCCGGGCUCAACCUGGGGACUGCAUUUGUGACUGGCAAGCUAGAGUGUGGCAGAGGGGGGUGGAAUUCCGCGUGUAGCAGUGAAAUGCGUAGAUAUGCGGAGGAACACCGAUGGCGAAGGCAGCCCCCUGGGCCAACACUGACGCUCAUGCACAAAGCAUGGGGAGCAAACAGGAUUAGAUACCCCAGUAGUCCCUGUCUCUUAUACA